AGCGAACGCUGGCGGCAGGCCUAACACAUGCAAGUCGAACGAAGUCUUCGGACUUAGUGGCGGACGGGUGAGUAACACGUGGGAACGUGCCUUUAGGUUCGGAAUAACUCAGGGAAACUUGUGCUAAUACCGAAUGUGCCCUUCGGGGGAAAGAUUUAUCGCCUUUAGAGCGGCCCGCGUCUGAUUAGCUCGUUGGUGAGGUAAAGGCUCACCAAGGCGACGAUCAGUAGAUGGUCUGAGAGGCUGAUCAGCCACAUUGGGUCUGAGACACGGCCCAAACUCCUACGGGAGGCUGCAGUUGGGAAUCCUGCGCAAUGGGCGAAAGCCUGACGCAGCCCUGCCGCGUGAGUGGUGCAGGUCUUGGGAUUGUAAAAUUCUUUCUACGGGGACGAUAAUGACGGUACGCGGAGAAGAAGCCCCGGCUAACUUGGUGCCAGCCGCCGCCGUAACAC
rnacentral:rRNA from 1 species